AUUGAACGCUGGCGGCAGGCCUAACACAUGCAAGUCGAACGACUGGCGGACGUGUGAGUAAUUUCUGGGAACCUGCCUGAUGGAGGGGGAUCACUACUGGAAUCGGUAGCUAAUACCACAUACCAUCACAUUUGCCCAGAUGGGAUUAGCUAGUUGGUGGGGUAACGGCUCACCAAGGCGACGAUCCCUAGCUGGUCUGAGAGGAUGACCAGCCACACUGGAACUGAGACACGGUCCAGACCCCUACGGGAGGACGCAGUGGGGAAUAUUGCACAAUGGGCGCAAGCCUGAUAGAGCCAUGCCGCGUGUAUGAAGAAGGCCUUCGGGUUGUAAAGUACUUUCAGCGGGGAGGCGUUACCCGCAGAAGAAGCACCGGCUAACUCCGUGCCAGCAGCCGCGGUAAUAC
rnacentral:rRNA from 1 species